rnacentral:rRNA from 1 species
CCAUCUCCUAAGGCUAAAUACUCUCUAGUGACCGAUAGUGAACCAGUACCGUGAGGGAAAGGUGAAAAGCACCCCGGAAGGGGAGUGAAAUAGAACCUGAAACCGUGUGCUUACAAGUAGUCAGAGCCCGUUAAUGGGUGAUGGCGUGCCUUUUGUAGAAUGAACCGGCGAGUUACGAUUUGAUGCAAGGUUAAGCAGUAAAUGUGGAGCCGUAGCGAAAGCGAGUCUGAAUAGGGCGUUUAGUAUUUGGUCGUAGACCCGAAACCAGGUGAUCUACCCUUGGUCAGGUUGAAGUUCAGGUAACACUGAAUGGAGGACCGAACCGACUUACGUUGAAAAGUGAGCGGAUGAACUGAGGGUAGCGGAGAAAUUCCAAUCGAACCUGGAGAUAGCUGGUUCUCUCCGAAAUAGCUUUAGGGCUAGCCUCAAGUGAUGAUUAUUGGAGGUAGAGCACUGUUUGGACGAGGGGCCCCUCUCGGGUUACCGAAUUCAGACAAACUCCGAAUGCCAAUUAAUUUAACUUGGGAGUCAGAACAUGGGUGAUAAGGUCCGUGUUCGAAAGGGAAACAGCCCAGACCACCAGCUAAGGUCCCAAAAUAUAUGUUAAGUGGAAAAGGAUGUGGCGUUGCCCAGACAACUAGGAUGUUGGCUUAGAAGCAGCCAUCAUUUAAAGAGUGCGUAAUAGCUCACUAGUCGAGUGACACUGCGCCGAAAAUGUACCGGGGCUAAACAUAUUACCGAAGCUGUGGAUUGUCCUUUGGACAAUGGUAGGAGAGCGUUCUAAGGGCGUUGAAGCAUGAUCGUAAGGACAUGUGGAGCGCUUAGAAGUGAGAAUGCCGGUGUGAGUAGCGAAAGACGGGUGAGAAUCCCGUCCACCGAUUGACUAAGGUUUCCAGAGGAAGGCUCGUCCGCUCUGGGUUAGUCGGGUCCUAAGCUGAGGCCGACAGGCGUAGGCGAUGGAUAACAGGUUGAUAUUCCUGUACCACCUAUAAUCGUUUUAAUCGAUGGGGGGACGCAGUAGGAUAGGCGAAGCGUGCGAUUGGAUUGCACGUCUAAGCAGUAAGGCUGAGUAUUAGGCAAAUCCGGUACUCAUUAAGGCUGAGCUGUGAUGGGGAGAAGACAUUGUGUCUUCGAGUCGUUGAUUUCACACUGCCGAGAAAAGCCUCUAGAUAGAAAAUAGGUGCCCGUACCGCAAACCGACACAGGUAGUCAAGAUGAGAAUUCUAAGGUGAGCGAGCGAACUCUCGUUAAGGAACUCGGCAAAAUGACCCCGUAACUUCGGGAGAAGGGGUGCUCUUUAGGGUUAACGCCCAGAAGAGCCGCAGUGAAUAGGCCCAAGCGACUGUUUAUCAAAAACACAGGUCUCUGCUAAACCGUAAGGUGAUGUAUAGGGGCUGACGCCUGCCCGGUGCUGGAAGGUUAAGAGGAGUGGUUAGCUUCUGCGAAGCUACGAAUCGAAGCCCCAGUAAACGGCGGCCGUAACUAUAACGGUCCUAAGGUAGCGAAAUUCCUUGUCGGGUAAGUUCCGACCCGCACGAAAGGCGUAACGAUUUGGGCACUGUCUCAACGAGAGACUCGGUGAAAUCAUAGUACCUGUGAAGAUGCAGGUUACCCGCGACAGGACGGAAAGACCCCGUGGAGCUUUACUGUAGCCUGAUAUUGAAAUUCGGCACAGCUUGUACAGGAUAGGUAGGAGCCUUUGAAACGUGAGCGCUAGCUUACGUGGAGGCGCUGGUGGGAUACUACCCUAGCUGUGUUGGCUUUCUAACCCGCACCACUUAUCGUGGUGGGAGACAGUGUCAGGCGGGCAGUUUGACUGGGGCGGUCGCCUCCUAAAAGGUAACGGAGGCGCUCAAAGGUUCCCUCAGAAUGGUUGGAAAUCAUUCAUAGAGUGUAAAGGCAUAAGGGAGCUUGACUGCGAGACCUACAAGUCGAGCAGGGUCGAAAGACGGACUUAGUGAUCCGGUGGUUCCGCAUGGAAGGGCCAUCGCUCAACGGAUAAAAGCUACCCCGGGGAUAACAGGCUUAUCUCCCCCAAGAGUUCACAUCGACGGGGAGGUUUGGCACCUCGAUGUCGGCUCAUCGCAUCCUGGGGCUGUAGUCGGUCCCAAGGGUUGGGCUGUUCGCCCAUUAAAGCGGUACGCGAGCUGGGUUCAGAACGUCGUGAGACAGUUCGGUCCCUAUCCGUCGUGGGCGUAGGAAAUUUGAGAGGAGCUGUCCUUAGUACGAGAGGACCGGGAUGGACAUACCUCUGGUGUACCAGUUGUCGUGCCAACGGCAUAGCUGGGUAGCUAUGUGUGGACGGGAUAAGUG